rnacentral:lncRNA from 1 species
CUCCUCUUUCCCCAGUGGGCCCCUAAUCGUUUCCUUUGUUUUCUGGACAUUUCAGAGGCCACCAUGAUCUGCAUGACCACCUCCAAAAUUAUCUAUCUGCACAAAAGCGCUGGCAUCAGGCUCUUCCUUCAGGGAAAACCAAGCUAAGACAGUAAGAGUGUGAUGAAAUUCCUGCAGGAAGGAAGAAAGGAGAACAUGAACAUUGGACUUAAUGGAUGAGAGCAGCAGGCUGAGCUAAGCUUAAGUGGAAUAUACAAAGAAGAAGCUCAUUUUAUUGGAGGACUUCUUUAGUUUUUUUUAAAAAAAAUUUAUUUUUUAUUUAUUUAUUUUAUUAUACUUUAAGUUCUGAGGUACACGUGCAGAACAUCCAGGUUUGUUACAUAGGUAUAUGCGUGCCAUGGUGGUUUGCUGCACCCAUCAACCCGUCAUCUACAUUAGGUAUUUCUCCUAAUGCUAUCCCUCCCCUACCCCCCAACCCACCUACAGGCCCUGGUAUGUGAUGUUCCCCUCCCUGUGUCCAUGUGUUCUCAUUGUUCAACUCCCACUUACAAGUAAGAAUAUGCGGUGUUUGGUUUUCUGUUCCUGUGUUAGUUUGCUGAGAGUGAUCGUUUCCAGCUUUAUCCAUGUCCCUGCAAAGGACAUGAAUUCAUCCUUUUUUAUGGCUGCAUAGUAUUCCAUGGUGUAUAUGUGCCACAUUUUCCUUACCCAGUCUAUCAUUGAUGGGCAUUUGGGUUGGUUCCAAGUCUUUGCUAUUGUGAACAGUGCUGCAAUAAACAUACAUGUGCAUAUGUCUUUAUAGUAGAAUGAUUUAUAAUCCUUU